AUUGAACGCUGGCGGCAGGCCUAACACAUGCAAGUCGAACGGUAACAGGAAGCAGCUUGCUGCUUCGCUGACGAGUGGCGGACGGGUGAGUAAUGUCUGGGAAACUGCCUGAUGGAGGGGGAUAACUACUGGAAACGGUAGCUAAUACCGCAUAACGUCGCAAGACCAAGAGGGGGACCUUCGGGCCUCUUGCCAUCGGAUGUGCCCAGAUGGGAUUAGCUAGUAGGUGGGGUAACGGCUCACCUAGGCGACGAUCCCUAGCUGGUCUGAGAGGAUGACCAGCCACACUGGAACUGAGACACGGUCCAGACUCCUACGGGAGGCAGCAGUGGGGAAUCUUCUGCAAUGGGCGCAAGCCUGACAGAGCGGCGUCAUGUGAAGGAAGAAGGCCUGAAAUAGGUUGUAAACUUCUUUUACUGAGUAAUGAAUACUGACAACGCAGUAAAAAAGUAUCGGCUAACUCCGUGCCAGCCGCCGCC
rnacentral:rRNA from 1 species